AUUGAACGCUGGCGGCAGGCCUAACACAUGCAAGUCGAACGGUAACAGGAAGCAGCUUGCUGCUUUGCUGACGAGUGGCGGACGGGUGAGUAAUGUCUGGGAAACUGCCUGAUGGAGGGGGAUAACUACUGGAAACGGUAGCUAAUACCGCAUAACGUCGCAAGACCAAAGAGGGGGACCUUAGGGCCUCUUGCCAUCGGAUGUGCCCAGAUGGGAUUAGCUAGUAGGUGGGGUAACGGCUCACCUAGGCGACGAUCCCUAGCUGGUCUGAGAGGAUGACCAGCCACACUGGAACUGAGACACGGUCCAGACUCCUACGGGAGGCAGCAGUGUGGAAUAUUGCACAAUGGGCGCAAGCCUGAUGCAGCCAUGCCGCGUGUAUGAAGAAGGCCUUCGGGUUGUAAAGUACUUUCGGCGGGGAGGAAGGGAGUAAAGUUAAUACCUUGGCUCAUUGACGUUACCCGCAGAAGAAGCACCGGCUAACUCCGUG
rnacentral:rRNA from 1 species